rnacentral:piRNA from 1 species
UCCAGGGUUUUUCGCUGAUGACUGCUGUA